UUUUUGCAAUUUCCAAACGCGAAGAACAAUAGUUUGCUCUUCCCUUCUGCGGCGGGCGGGUGAGAAAAAAAAGGCUCUGUCUGGUAGUGGGAGACACGUUCAAAAGGAACGGUAACCCCGUAUACUUUUUACGGGAAAACGGGGGGAUCUUCGGGCUUUGCUCUAUCAGAUGAUCCUAGGUCGUAUUGUCUACCUGGUGGGGUAAGGGCUCCCCCCCGGGGGGGAGGCGUCUCUGGUCUGAGAGGAAGAACACUCACUCUGGCUCUGACACACCCUCCAGACUCCUACGGGAGGCAGCUGGGGGAAUUUUUGCACUGUGGGUGAAAGCCUGCCCCCCCCGUCCCGCGCGCGUGAAAAACCCCUCCCGAUUGUACAGCACUUUUACUUGGGAGGAAGGCUGGUGCUCUCAUACUUUUUUGUUGUCACGUUUUAUUUUAAUAUACGCAGCGGCUGUCUCUGUGCCCCCACCGCUGCAUACAGAUUGUGUUUCGUUUUUUAUCUUUUUUUAUUGCG
rnacentral:rRNA from 2 species